rnacentral:rRNA from 1 species
UACGGGGGGGCAAGCGUUGUUCGGAAUUACUGGGCGUAAAGGGCUGGUAGGCGGCCAACUAAGUCAUACGUGAAAUCCCUCAGCUUAACUGGGGAACUGCGUGUGAUACUGGAUGGCUUGGAUUUGGGAGAGGGAUGCGGAAUUCCAGGUGUAGCGGUGAAAUGCGCAGAUAUCAGGAAGAACACCCGUGGCGAAGGCGGCUCUCUGGGACGGUACUGACGCUGAGGAGCGAAAGCGUGGGGAGCAAACAGG